UACGGGGGGAGCAAGCGUUGUUCGGAUUUACUGGGCGUAAAGGGCGCGUAGGCGGUCAGCACAAGUCAGUUGUGAAAUCUCCGGGCUUAACUCGGAAAGGUCAACUGAUACUGCUCGGCUAGAGUGCGGAAGGGGCAACUGGAAUUCUUGGUGUAGCGGUGAAAUGCGUAGAUAUCAAGAGGAACACCUGCGGCGAAGGCGGGUUGCUGGGCCGACACUGACGCUGAAGCGCGAAAGCUAGGGGAGCGAACGGG
rnacentral:rRNA from 1 species